CUAAUUAUCACUUUUCACCACUGCCCCCCAAAACUCCCUCAGCACCCACGAUCGCCCGCCCCAAUCUCUCCUCCACCACCCAUGACCGCCACAAAAUCCAAUGCCCUACGUCAUCUCUCCCGUCUGGUUCCCUGUUGUGGCUUCGCUGCCUCAUCCGCCGCCGCCCGCUGCCUCCGCGAUCAGCGCACAGUCCUCGCCUCCGUCGAUCGCUGCCUCCAGCGGCAAGUUCGAAUUUCUGGUGAAACUAUUGCCGACUCCACGACGGAACUCCACUGCGAGCUGCGGAGAGGCGAUGUUGUCGAAUUGAGCUUGGCGGUUGGUGGCGGUUUCAAUUUUAGAGGAAAUUGAGAUUGCAAAAGUAGUUUGCAGGAAGCUUGAAGGAAAAUUUUAGGCUCUGAAAAUUUUAAAGAAUCAGUUGUAUUUAGCAGCUGAAUCAAGAAGAAAUGAUUAUUGCAAAGGCAUAGCAUAAAUACAAGAAUUUUAUCGUGCAUAG